rnacentral:lncRNA from 1 species
UUCCUCAAUAAUAGUGCUCUUAGGAUCUGGAUCGUACCAUACCUCUGUUGCUUGUGUUACACUCCGCAAGGUUGUAUACUCCAGAGCGCACUGGACAUUUUUGGCCUUCUCCUUAGUUUUGCUUACACCAGGCUUCAAGUAUACCGAGAGNAGGUAAUCUGUUUCUGCAUACACAGCAGCAUCAAGAAGAAUGUCCACUGUUCUCAAAGGAGCAUCUCAUCAUGGGGCCAGUAUCGUUGCGAUUGAUACCAUGACGGGUGAUGGCCAUCAAGUGACCACGAUAUGUCAUGGUAUCACACAAUAUAGCCAAAAUGUCUAUAGUUCACGUAAGACCCAUCAAAUGAUAUGACAACACGCAACUCAUCCAGCAAGGCUUUGCGAACUGCCUCAAUGCCAAGAACUUCAAUAACUUCAAUCAAAUGAUUGCUUGUUGUCCUACUUGCAUCUACAUCUUCAUGGCAAAUUACAGCUAAAAGAUUAACACCUUCGGUGUCAAGCAUCCACUCAUUCUCAGCCUUGAAGCCUUCAUUUUCAUCAAACUUAUUUACCUUGCCAUUCUUUAUGAACACCUUAUUGAUAUCUGGUAUGCCUCGAAGAGCCAUUUCUGUAAGCAUGUUACCCUCUAAUCUUUUUGUAGGAAGACAUCAUCCUCAGCAGAUUCAUCAUUCAACUCACCUUUAGGGGCUUCAUCAUUCAUAAUACGAAUACGAAGGAUAAGCUUUUCAGCAUUAUCAUCAUUAAAUAUGCACGUUAGAUCACUAUCAAAUUCAGCAUUAAUCUUAUGGGAAAUAUCAGCCAUGUUGAGUUUCUUAUCCACCAUCAUUUCUCUGUUUAACUCUAUGCGAAGCAACCACGGAGAGAUCUUGUCGGGGUCAACAUCAUCAUCUGGCAUCUCAAAGUAGGACGUCACAAAUUCAACAUCUUCCUCAAUAAUAGUGCUCUUAGGAUCUGGAUCGUACCAUACCUCUGUUGCUUGUGUUACACUCCGCAAGGUUGUAUACUCCAGAGCGCACUGGACAUUUUUGGCCUUCUCCUUAGUUUUGCUUACACCAGGCUUCAAGUAUACCGAGAGAGAGGGUGUUUUAAUUUUCUUAGCAACAUUAAUAAUCUCCCUCAACCUUGGAACACCUAAA